rnacentral:rRNA from 1 species
AGUGCAGCAGGUAGCGCCGCAAACUUAAACAUAUCACUAGCGGCAGCAAGAGAAACCAACCGGGAGGCCCUGAGUAACGGCGAGCGAAAAGGGUCGAGUCCGACGUCGAAUCUGCCUAGAUGGACGACUUCGAAGCAGAGUUGUGACGUCGAGACGAGCGGGGGUGGCGGAGUAGCGGUCGUAAGGCCUUGGAAAAGGUCGCCGUAGAGAGCGAUCGUCUCGUAUCGAUGCGCUCCGCUUUCGCAUCGCUCGUCUCUCAACGAGUAGGUUUGCCUUGUAGCGCAAGCCGAAUGUGUUUCGGGGGAGGCCCCGAAAAGACUAAUCACAUCACGAUUCCGAUAGCGCACUAGAUCGUACCGCGAGGGAACGCUGAAAAGUACUCUGAAGAGAAGGUGAAAGAGCACGCGAAAUCGUUGCGGCGGAAGCGUACCGGCAAUCGUCAAGUUUCUUGUGGCGGCCCCGAUGUCGAGAGCCUUAGCGCUCGUGAGGCAGAGGUCCGGUGCUCUCCGAUAUUUGAGCGAGAGCACGGAGCGGUUGACAAGACAGCUCUGCCGCCAAAGAUUCGCCGGUACGGCCCGUCUUGAAACACGGACCAUGGAGAUGACAGGAUCGAGCGAGGCGCGGGUCCUCGAAAGGCCCACGCCGAAGGGAAGCCAAAUUUACGCGAGUAGGGUCAUGGCCUUCACUCAGCGGCUUCGCUGCAACUCGUAGUUGUAGUGUGACGAGUUCGAUCCGUCACACCCGAUAGGGGGUGAACUAUGCUCGAUCAGAUCGAAGCCUGGCUAACGCCCGGUGGAGGAUCGUAGCGGUUCUGAUAUGCAAUUCGAUCGCGUGAGUUGAGCAUAGGGGCGAAAGACCAAUCGAACCCCCUGGUAGCUGGUUCCUUCCGAAUGGUCUCUCAGGACUGCUGACGUACGCAAAAUCGGACUCGGUCGUCGUAGAGCAACGAAUCGGGUUACCGGGACGCAACCGUCGCCGCACCCUUCUCGAACUGCAAAGACGAUCGGCUGCGGGCCUCGUUCACUUCGAGGCUCGUCACGGACCGGAAGACGUCAAGUCGGCGCUGGCCGGUAAGCGGCUAGCGUUAUGCGGGAUCAACCGCCAGCCGGUGUGAGGUGCCACUCACCGAUCGAAUCGUGCGGCCUCGAAAAUUGAUGGCGCUUUUAUCGGUCGACCGACCGCCGGCCGCCGAGGACGACGUCUAGCUGCACUCCGCAGCAAAAGGUGCACUGUCCUCGGCGGGUAGGAAGGCGACGCGAUGAGCCUUGAAGCUCGUCCUCGAGGACGGGUGGAGCCGUCGCGUGUGCUUAUCAUGGUUGCAGUAGCUUGAACUUCGGUCGAACCCGGAGGGCCGUAGUGGAGAAGGUUUCCUGUCGAUCGGCGAACGAGACAGGGUAAGUCGCUCCCGAGCAGACGACGAAGGUCGUUAGACAGUGCCCGACAACGGGCGAGCUGCGAAAGGGAAGCCGGCGAAAAUUCCGGCACCGCGUCAAGCCGUGUUCGACGUCUCGUGGAACGUUCGCUGCCGCAAGGUUGGCGUGCGUGCCGGGCGUCGAACGUACCGACGGCAACGUGACUGGUUCGAAGACGCUCAGCACGGCAUCGGCAUCGGUUCUCUUCCGAUGUUAAGGUGACGACGCGACGGAGUCGGUUCGCCCGGAGAUGUCGCGCGCGUCGGCGAAAAGGGUGGCAAGAACUGCGACCUUCGGUAGCCGUGCUGGGCCCGUGAAAAUUCGAACGAGCGGAUUACGAGCUUGACGCGAGCGUACCCAGAACCGCAUCAGGUCUCCGAGGUGAGAAGCCUCUGGCCGAACGGCAAAAGGCGGGCUAGGGAAUUCGGCAAAAUAGAUCCGUACCUUCGGUACAAGGAUUGGCUCCGCGGGUCGCGUCUACCGGCUUGCAUCGGCGACCGACGACGUGGCGACCGUUGUCCUCCUCGGGGGAUGGCUGUUGCAACGGAGGCGGGCGAAGGUGCGAGUUGAGCGGUGCGGGUUUCGGCCUGCAUCGCUCGCCACGGUAGGCUAAAAACGAUCGACGCGGAGCUGGCACCGACACGGCUGACCGGACAGUUUAAUUAAAACGCAGCGCGUGGCUAUCCGCAAGCGGCGUGAAUCACGCGUGAGUCCUGCCCGGUGCUAUGAAUGUCAAGGUGGGGAGAUUCACCUAAGCACUAGUUAACGGCAGGAGUAACUAUGACUCUUUUAAGGUAGCAAAAUACCUUGUCGCAUAAUUGGCGACGUGCAUGAAUGGAUCAACCAGGUCAGCACUGUCCCAGUCCGGUCGCCGGCGAACCAACAGACGGGGGAACGGGCCCGUCAGACACAGCGGGGAAAGAAGACCCUGUUGAGCUUCACUUCAUCUGUCGCCUGCAGGCGGGUGCAGCGUCUGUAGUAAUAGAUGGGAGGCGUUCGUUUCGGCGUUCGCCGGUUGUGAAAGACCAUUGACGCAGUUACUCGCUCGCUAACCUGGUGAGAGGGGAAGCGCGCGUUCGGUCUUCGGGCCGACGCGCCAGAUCCAUGCAACAAAGCGACGACGCGGCGCACCUCGUGUGCUGCCGACCACGGACGUCGCGACCCGUGCCAGGGACAAGCCGCGGUGGGAAGUUUGGCUGGGGCGGUACGACCCGAAAAGUGUGGCCGGGUCGACCAUGAGUCGAUCUCAGUGUGGACGGAAACCUCACGUAGCGUUUAAGGACAAAUGAUCGUCUGAUCCGGCGCCACAGCACAGCGCCGGGGCUCGACAGAGCGGCCUAGCGAUCUCGAAACGGCGCCCGGUCUCGGUCGUUCGAGUGACGGAAAAGUUACCACAGGGAUAACUGGCUUGUGGCAGCCUAGUGGCCUAAAUGACGCUGCUUUUUGAUCCUUCGAUGUCGGCUCUUCCUAUCCAGGCAGUGCAAAAGUUGCCAAAGGUAAGACUGUUCGUCUGCUAACAGGGAACGUGAGCUGGGUUUAGACCGUCGUGAGACAGGUUAGUUUUAUCCUACUGUGAGUGGUCGUCCCGAUGGUAGGAUCGUUUAGUACGACAGGAACGACGAUUCAUUGCCUAUCGCAAUGGAGUCGGUCGAGAGACCGAUGCUCCGAAGCGACGCAAUUCGGAUAAGGACUGAUGGCCUCUAAAGUUCGAAGCCGUGCCAAGUGAGCGGACGACAGUGCGGGUAGACUGCUGCGACGUGAGUUUUCGUUUUGCCAGCCUCGCCGCCGUGCGAAAAAGGCCUCCUCUUUGGGGAGCAGCCUAGGGCAACAGGUGCCGCGUGUACCGACGAUGCUCCGUCGAAAGAUCACCAGUAAACGACUGGGGAGUCUCGGUACUGUAAGGCGUCGAGCUCUAGGGCGAGCGUCUGAGGUUUAGCCGGAGACUAUA